AUUUUUUUUUAGUUGUCAAAAGCGUUACCGCUCAUUAAUCUAUUUAUGUUUUUUAUAGCCCAAGGCCUGAGUUCAAGUUGUUUAACAAAGCUGUGGCAUCUUUUAUACACCAUCCCACUACAGUGAAGGUACCGUGUGAGGGAGCUAUUUUGGCAGCCAAGUCCAUGAAUUCGUUUUGGAGUAUGCCAGUGUGGCUUGGUUAUGUAGUUGCCGUGACUGGACUUAAGAAUUGCAAUUGCGCUGUUUCUGCAUUUGUAAAAUACUAGCUGUAUUCAUAUCAUAUUUGUUUUUGGCUGUUCCCUUAAAUAAAUCUAGGUCUACCCUUAUUUUACUAUUAUGUACAGGUAAUGGAUCUCAGAUUUUAACUUGAUCUAGGAUAUGUUUAAAGUCUUUUUAUAAUUUGGCAUAACUAGUAUUAGUGUAUUAGUGUUUCUUUAUCUGGCAACUCAUGGGCAAAAACUUUUAUCAAUUCUUUUGCCGUUUGAAAACAAAUUGUGUACUCGGGCGGAAGCUCCGCCGCCAUGUGAUAUAAGAUCGGUACCUGUGUA